UUCAUUGUGUUUGCUUGAAAAUCUUAUCUAUACUGGGUAAAACACUGCCUUUAUUUGUGUAUUUUGGAGUAAUACUUGUCAAAAUGUCCCCCAGUCACUGUUUUAUGUUUUCAAAGUCAAUGUUAAGUCUUGAAAAAAGCCUCUGAGCACUGAGUCCAUCCUGUGUUUAUUUUGCUAAUGUGACUUUGAGAUUUAAGGAUGUGACAGAUGGAGUCACUCGUCUCUGUCUCGCUCCGUCAGUCCCAGAGAUGCGGUCUUCACUGAUAAACCUGUCAGAGUUAAAGACUCCAUCAGACAACUUCCUGUCUGAUUCUUCUCAGAAUCUGUGAUCAGCCUUUGUUUCAUGCCUGGCCAAUUUAAUCAGAAGUGGAGCCUGGGGGCAGGUGCAGCGUUUCAUUCCAGAGAGCUGAUGUCAUCGGGCGCUGAGCGGUGCCAGUCUGCAAGCAGCACAGCUGAAAAUUACAGGCCGUCACCAACAACAACACUCACAAACAUGGAUACACAGCAAGGACAAACAACAAAAAACAAUGUUCAGUUUGGAGCUCUGUCACGCUCUGCUGACACUCGAAUAUUUUCUGUUACUUCUUUCAAAAAAUUCACAAUAGAGAAACCAUAGUCAUUAUAAAAAAGCUCUACAAAAUACCAUGUUUACUAAAGAUGAUUACAUAAAGAAAGUGUUUCCAUGUUCCACGGGUUUAGCAAAAAUGCUGGAAACUAUUUUCAUUAGUAAUGACAAAGUCAUAUAAAUAGAAGCACAUAAAUAGCAGCACAUUUCAUAACUUCUGGAAAGCAACAACAGAAUGUUAACAGGAUGACAAACAUGUGCGUCAAUUUCCUUUAGUUUGGAAACAGCAGCUCUGAGCUACGAGAUGGCUUAAGUCGCACGUAAUGAAGCAAACAGACAUUUUUAGUGUGUUUUGGCUCCAUUUUAGCAAAAAAAAUGAACCCAAAACGCAUAUAUAAUCCCACCUCUACUGUGUGUGACAAGCAGUUUUGCUCACAAAGGAGAUGAUGGAGAUAAUAAAGUAAUUUUUUCCAUCGUCUUCGUAGGGAAGAACUGUUUUCCAUAACACAAAAAAAGCCUUGUUAAUGUUUGUACAAAAGAGCAUUGAAUUUGAUUCUUGUGGCCUAUUUUUUUAAUCCCAGAUAAUCCCCUGAUGAUAAUUAGACCUUGCAACUUGUUUUUGUACAUAUAUUCUUUGUAUUUUCCAUCCGUGUGUAUAAUGCAAGAGAUCAGUUGAAUGAAUAAUUGAUUGAAUGCAGCCUGUAUAAGCUUUGUCAUGUCAGGCACCCUGAUGAAGAAAUGCUUGUCUGGUGAA